ACGAUUUUAGUUGAGCCAAAGGCUUUCAGCAGUUAGUAGCCCAAAAAAUUGUGUCUUCCCCAGCGGACAGAAAAAAGCAAAAGCAAAUUCAAUCAAUAUGAGCGAAGCCCAGAAUCUGUUUACCACCUUCGGCAUCCUGGCCAUCCUCCUUUUCUUCCUUUACAUCAUCUAUGCCGUAUUGUAGAAUGUUAGGUCCUGCAGGAGGUCCUUAGAGCAGGAUCCAAGCAACCAGCAGCAGCCAACGCAUCCAAAAUGAAUGAAGCCAGAAGUCUGAUCACCACCUUCGCCAUCCUGGCCUUCCUGCUGUUCCUGCUCUAUGCCUUCUACGAGGCCGCCUUCUAGACCACAAGCCACCCCCUCACCACCCACCCAUCAAUCAAUCAGUCAAUCAAGGAUAGCUUACAUGUUGAAUUUCAAUUCCAAGUCCCGCCACAUCGUGUCCAGCCUUAACAUCCGGUGGCCUAUGGCGGGGCUUUUAGGACCCUCUACGCGUUUAAGAUGUUUAGCAUUUAAUGGAUUUCUACUAGUAACCUAAGCCAGAUGACGUCAAAGCCACCAGCUGCUACCAGAUCGGAGGCUCGCCGGCAUUAUAUUAGGAUCAUGAUCACGAUCACUUAGGUGAUCGAUGGACAACCCCUGCCGAGUGUGCUGCGCUAGAUUUCCACCAUCCAUCGAGGCGCUGCAAGACCGAUCCAUCCGAUUCCGCGGUGAUCUGCUGCCGAGGCCUUGGCGUCAUCUGUUCUAAUCAUACAUUUUAGUUUUGUGAUUUCUUCAUUUUUGUUUCGCAAUGGAAUUCACAUAGUUUGCAAAUUUAUAGACCAUGAUGUACAGUAUAAGCAAAACAGCAGCAAAUCAAUGUGAGAGAUCAGAAAAUUGGUUAUUUCAUUGUUGGACAAAACAAGUUUAGUUCGCAUUCAUAUUUAGUAAGACAUACAUAAUGUAUAACUGCAUUUUACCCCACUCUUUUCUUUUAAUUUUAUGUGACUAAAAACACAUGCAGAACAACAGCAAAACAAACAACAUCAACUGCAGGAA